AUGAAUCUCAACCUUCAACAAUCACCAAGAAACUUCAAAAAUACAAUCCGCAACAAUCAUCAUCACCUUCAUAUUCAAGAAUAUUUACUCUCACCUUCAAUCUUCAUCAUGUUUCAUCAUUUGCCUCAACAUCGCAACAUCAUCAACGCGAGUACAAUUCAGAAGAAACAGAAGCAAAGAGUAGACAGACAAGCAGAGUUAUAUGUACCUGAGUUUGUUUCCGGUUCUGCUAUUAGCUCCGUCGUCGGAGCAUCUCCGAUUGGUAAAUCACUCUUCCACUGUCUCCGAUAUUCUCUCCCUUGA